GGAUCGAUAGCUCAGUGGUAGAGGUAAGCGAAUCUGAAACAUAAUUCCCAUUCUGUUACACAAUAACUAACAAACUUGGCAGCGAGAGAUUGCAGAUCUCUAGGUCACGCGUUCGAUCCGCGUUCGGUCCU
rfam:Trichoderma harzianum strain T6776 Scaffolds0240.1, whole genome shotgun sequence.